rnacentral:rRNA from 1 species
UACGUAGGGUGCAAGCGUUGUUCGGAAUUACUGGGCGUAAAGGGUUUGUAGGUGGCUUGCUAAGUCAGACGUGAAAUCCCUCAGCUUAACUGGGGAACUGCGUCUGAUACUGGCGAGCUUGAGUGCAGGAGAGGAACGCGGAAUUCCAGGUGUAGCGGUGAAAUGCGUAGAUAUCUGGAGGAACACCGGUGGCGAAGGCGGCGUUCUGGACUGCAACUGACACUGAAAAACGAAAGCCAGGGGAGCAAACGGG